CUGCUGUACAAGGAGCUUAUGGUUUGGAGAAAGCUCUCCGCCUCCGUGUGUAAAAACUAGGCUAAUAAUGGUUUUCUGCCUCACACGAGCUGCUGGGAAUUAAUUAAUUUUCAAAGCAGUUUGAAACACAGCCACAACAAAGGAUUUUUGUGGACUUAUGUUGCCGCCUAGAUUGUGUGUUGUGAGCUGGGAAAGAAAUCUCCACAUCGCUUGAAGCUGCCACUGCCUGUAAGGUUCUGCUGCUAGAAACUGGAAAUGACUUCAUGCUUCAAGUGGGAAAUCACAGGUGAGCAUUUAUGGAUGUGGAGAUGCUAAGACCACCAGCAAAGCACAAUUGCUAUGAGACCGGAGGCUGUCCGCCUGGAUCUCACACGCCUGCCCAGCAAUAUAUUCUUCAAACAUUUUUAUCCAUUCAUGCAACCCCAUAAAUGUUCCCUCUAUUUUCCAGGAGGUGUCCCAGAGCUGGAGCCAAUUCAGCUGCCAAGAUGCUGCCUUUCUCACCUGCUGAUUGCAAUUAGCCACUGCCAGCUGGGACCUGGUGUGCCACUGAAGAGCUAACAAGAAGCAGAGACCAGCAUGAUGCCUCGACAGCACAUACACAGUGAAUAAAUAAGAAAUGCUGCACUGUAUUCCUGAAGUUACUUCCUAUGCAACUUCAAUUGCUUCCUAAGCAAUUCCUAUGUCCCUACAUGCAUGUCAGAGGUUCAGCUUGCUUCUCGUGCUCUUACCUCAUGCUGUCACAUACUUGCCAGGAAGGAAAC